UACGAAGGGGGCUAGCGUUGUUCGGAUUUACUGGGCGUAAAGCGCACGUAGGCGGAUCUUUAAGUCAGAGGUGAAAUCCCAAGGCUCAACCUUGGAACUGCCUUUGAUACUGGGGAUCUUGAGUCCGGGAGAGGUGAGUGGAACUGCGAGUGUAGAGGUGAAAUUCGUAGAUAUUCGCAAGAACACCAGUGGCGAAGGCGGCUCACUGGCCCGAUACUGACGCUGAGGCACGAAAGCGUGGGGAUCAAACAGG
rnacentral:rRNA from 1 species